rnacentral:rRNA from 1 species
UGGGGAAUAUUUCACAAUGGGCGCAAGCCUGAUGCAGCCAUGCCGCGUGUAUGAAGAAGGCCUUCGGGUUGUAAAGUACUUUCAGCGGGGAGGAAGGGAGUAAAGUUAAUACCUUCGCUCAUUGACGUUACCCGCAGACGAAGCACCGGCUAACUCCGUGCCAGCAGCCGCGGUAAUACGGAGGGUGCAAGCGUUAAUCGGAAUUACUGGGCGUAAAGCGCACGCAGGCGGUUUGUUAAGUCAGAUGUGAAAUCCCCGGGCUCAACCUGGGAACUGCAUCUGAUACUGGCAAGCUUGAGUAUCGUAGAGGGGGGUAGAAUUCCAGGUGUAGCGGUGAAAUGCGUAGAGAUCUGGAGGAAUACCGGUGGCGAAGGCGGCGCACUGGACGAAGACUGACGCUCAGGUGCGAAAGCAUGGGGAGCAAACAGG